AGACCCGAAACCCGGUGAUCUAGCCAUGGGCAGGUUGAAGGUUGGGUAACACUAACUGGAGGACCGAACCGACUAAUGUUGAAAAAUUAGCGGAUGACCUGUGGCUGGGGGUGAAAGGCCAAUCAAACCGGGAGAUAGCUGGUUCUCCCCGAAAGCUAUUUAGGUAGCGCCUCGUGAAUUCAUCUCCGGGGGUAGAGCACUGUUUCGGCUAGGGGGCCAUCCCGGCUUACCAACCCGAUGCAAACUGCGAAUACCGGAGAAUGUUAUCACGGGAGACACACGGCGGGUGCUAACGUCCGUCGUGAAGAGGGAAACAACCCAGACCGCCAGCUAAGGUCCCAAAGUCAUGGUUAAGUGGGAAACGAUGUGGGAAGGCCCAGACAGCCAGGAUGUUGGCUUAGAAGCAGCCAUCAUUUAAAGAAAGCGUAAUAGCUCACUGGUCGAGUCGGCCUGCGCGGAAGAUGUAACGGGGCUAAACCAUGCACCGAAGCUGCGGCAGCGACGCUGAUGCGUUGUUGGGUAGGGGAGCGUUCUGUAAGCCUGCGAAGGUGGCCUGUGAGGGUUGCUGGAGGUAUCAGAAGUGCGAAUGCUGACAUAAGUAACGAUAAAGCGGGUGAAAAGCC
rnacentral:rRNA from 1 species